CACUCUAAGGUGACUGCCGGCUAAAAGUCGGAGGAAGGUGGGGGAGUGACGUCAAAUCAUCAUGCCCUUAUGACCUGGGCUACACACGUGCUACAAUGGGCGGUACAAAGGGUCGCGAACCCGCGAGGGGGAGCCAAUCCCAAAAAGCCGCUCUCAGUUCGGAUUGCAGGCUGCAACUCGCCUGCAUGAAGCCGGAAUCGCUAGUAAUCGCGGAUCAGCAUGCCGCGGUGAAUACGUUCCCGGGCCUU
rnacentral:rRNA from 1 species